ensembl:lncRNA
GGCUCCUUGGGACAAUGGAGGAAUGCUGACUGUAGCUCGGAACAAUCCUUCAUAUGUGAAAAGGAAGUAGAAGGUAGAACAGUCAAUGAAUUUUGAAUGUUUACAUGCAAUUUUACUUUCCAGUUUUACUUUCCUAAAUAAACAUAUUUACUUAUUUAUACAUUUUUCUGUAGUUACCCUGCCUUCUCUGGACAGCUGUAUAACUGGGGUUCCUAUGAUGAUGAGUGUCUACCCAAUGUCCCAAGCCAAAAUCCAGAACAGCAUCCCUAACAUUGGACAGCAAAUGGUUGAAGUGAUGAUGUUUCCUGGACUCUGGAUUAGCCAUGAAGGACAAGUUCUCUCUGUGGAUUUUGUAACACGACCCUUUAAAGAUGUAUCCCAUGCCAGAGUUCAGAUUUUUCGGCCCUACUGCAGCCCCAGCCAUCACCUUGUCCCACCAGGUGGGUUGUCUAAGUCCAUGGCCAACUGAUUUACUAUCAUGAACCCGUUCCCUAUAUUGACAAAUCUGAAGUUCAGCUCCACAUUUUUUACAGGGUGUAGCUUCCUUGCUAAUCCCUUCAGCAGUUGCUCUCUGAUUCCAUUUUGCAACACAACCGGGGGCUGUUCGUAUGCACACUACUGGUGUCCUCUACUGGAGACUUGCCUGCCUGUAACAAGUCCAUGUACUCCCUACCACACAAGCACUUGGGGGAGAACCGUCUCACUGCCUCCUCGCUACAUUUCAACCCCACCAUUCUUCCAGCUAAUGGUGGACAUACCCCUGACCCUACCUCCAAACUCU